GUGGUUGUUUGCAAAAUGGUACAGGACUUUUUAAUUCAGUUUGACGAGAUCUACCUGUGGGUGAGAGGUUUUUCGCCUUAUGUCAGACACCCUGUAUAUAUGGAUGAAAUUAUACAUAGUAUAUUUGAAGUAUAGCAAAUUUGAUAUUACAGUAAAUCCCUAUAUAACACAAUUUUAUAUGACGCAGAUUUAUAUAACGCGGCAAAAAAAUUGCGACAAUGUCUUUAAAGACUUUAAAGGCGGAAAAUAUAUAACGCAGUAAAUUAACCAAUCUCGUGCAACGUGUUAUAACGUGUUAUAACGUGUUAUAUACAUGUAAGAAAACACAAUUACUUUAUCAUAUUAUUAUAAACUGUAAAUAUUUAUAAAUCCAUGUAUAGAUGCUAGUAUAAUGCACACAAUAAUGUAUGAUUAUAUUAUUAUAAAAUGUUGACAAAAUAUAAAACUUUUUUUAUAGCCACAUACUGGAUAUUAGAGUGAACCUUAUUUUUUAACUUUUAAAUUUGUUUCACAAAGUUUGUUCCAUUUAGCGAAAACAAUUGCGCGAAAUAUGAGCUCGAUCGGACAACGGAAAAAUGUAGCGCAUCUAACUUGAAUUAUUAAAACUUUUUAAGAUUUAAUAAUUUGUGCAGAUCGUAAAUGACAUAGCAAAAUGAGGAGUUAUAGAAAUGUUAUACAUGUUUUAUCAAGUUUUGUCGAGAAAGGUUCAAUGUUAUCUUGUGUCUGACAUUGUACGCGUUAUACCAGUCCGCGUUACAAAGAAACUUCGUGUACUUAAUCAUUUUGUAUAUGAUAAUGUAUUGUAUCGUUAAUUAUUAGUCAAUCAUUUAUACAAUAAGUAUUUUACAUAUUGUAAACUUUCUACUUAAUUGCUUUUAUUUAGAUAUCAACGAGUUCUGCAUGUUUGAUAAAAUAAGUUAGUUGUUUAAUAACAAUAAUUGGACAGGAAAAAAAUUAUUUUUUUAUUAUUUUGCAAACGCUCAACGAUAAAAUUGGGAUGUUUUUAUGAUAAAUAAUGAAAACUUGGUGGAAACUAUACACAUUGGUAGAUGUAGAAAUGCAUUAGAAAUUUAUGGCUUAUGUAUCCUAGUAAAAGUGCGCAUUAAAACAUUUUCUGAUUUCAGUGUGAUAAUAUACUAUUAAAAUCACAUGCAAAUUCUGAAAACGUGGGUAACGAACGUACUAGUGCGGGUAAAAGGAAACGAGGACAGAGUAGAAAAGAACUUUGGCGUACGUAACUAGAGGCGGUCUGCUGGGUGGUUGAAUUGCGGAGUAGAAGGCAAUGAGAGCCCUUAUGUGCACAUGGAAAAAAGAAAGUCCAGGGAGUGUACUCACACACUGAGAAAUCCAACGGGGUGGUCCAAUGGAUGGGUUUUUAUGAUGGGUCAAGGAAAGGUGAAAGUCUUCCAUGAGCGCAUCUCGUUACCACGAGGUGGAGACGAGCUCCAGGCAUUACGAUGACGCAGCAUCAGCUCCCGGUUACCUCUGUCCAUUGUUCUCCCCGCAUUUCUUCUCGGCUCGUGUUCAAGUGCUCAAGAACUCAAUCCCUACCCUCCCUCGAAACCCGGAUCCCUCGACGUCGUACUUAAAAAUGUACCCCCGCGCGCUUUUUGUAUAUAAAUGUCGGCUUCUAUUCGACAUUUCACGCACAAAGCAACCAGUUUAGCACAGUCAUCGCGACAAAUUUGUCAGAAUUGUCGGUAGAUUCGUUUUUUCAAACCCUUUCCAUUUUGAUACUUUAUAUCUGUUAUUAUUAUUAAAUUAAAUGAUAAAUUUAUAUACAAGGUUAGAUUAUUAUACAUCUUUGUUCGCGAUUAAAAGGGUUUGUACGCGUGCGUAGGAUAAGAUUACGGUUACGACUAAACUUUUUCACGUGCAAUGGCCUCAACUGAUUCUCGUGACCCCCCGCGACGUUCCCGCGCGAGGCAUCCGCUUGUCGAUAAUGUCCCGCACCGGGUUAUAGACAGGGCCUCACUUGCAGCUACUCCGAUCCGCGGUUGACCCCCCGUGCGAAGGCGCACCCUGUGCCUGCCACCCCGCGUCCUCUACUUGACUCCGGCCGUCCAGUCUCGCGGAAAUAACAGCACUCUUAUGGAAAACGCCUCCGAAUGCCUUCGCUACUUGUCUUCGUCAUGGGGCGCGGGACUCGACAUCGCCCCUGGUGGGCCGCAGGCGCUCCGUGUGUGGGAACCACGUGAUAUAUUCCCUUCGCGUUCAUCGCAUUCGUCGAGUGGCUCUCGUCACUCUCUCCCGACGGGCCCGACACGUUGAUAGGUGCGUAUGCGCGCGCGCACGUAUACGUGCCUGCCUGUCGAGCUCGAUCACACACGGAGAAGGAAAGAACGUUAGCAUAAUUUGACAAAAGCCGCGAGUGCGCAGCGUUCUACGCCAGCCGCUCGAUAAACAAUGUGCCAUCGUGUACGCGCCAAUGGAGCCACGAGUACCACGCCAUGGGCACAAUACCAUCUUAGGAUAUUUUGCCGUGCUAACCGUUAUCGUCCUUGUCGAGCUUAAUCGCUCGUUAGACGGGUGACAGGCUUUUGUGCUUUUGCAACUGUUUUUUUUUUCUUCCAUUGGUUCUUACAUCUCCGUUACAUUUGGUUGUACGUACUAGAGAGUCGACAAGAGCAGAAGAAUCACCAAAUUUAAGAUUCUACAUGAACAUUUAGAUCUUUUCAACGUAACGUUGAAAUUAAAAUUUAAAUAGAAUUAUAAAAGUGUUGUCUGUAAAACGACGAUUUACAAUGUUCUAUCAAUGUUCGCGUAAAAGUAGAUCAAGUGGAACGUAUUGUCCGCGUAAGGGGACAGGGAGAGAUUUUCUUAUAAGUAAUAGGCAGAUUUUUUAGUAAAUUGCUAUUUUACGUAAUCAAUGAAAUCAUUCCAAGUAACUAAGACGAGUCUUGACAACUGAAAAGUCUCGGUUAGUAGGUGGAACGUUCCAACGAUUUGCUUCACGGAAUGGUCUGCCACCCACGCCAGGUUGGUUUCUGGGGCGUAACUAUGGGGGCGUGCACCAGCCAAGUAGGGUCCACCAUAGGCGGGGAUCUUCCCACCAACGCAUUUCCUUUCCCGCAAUCCAGGCGGCUGAAGAUCCACGCUGGCGCGUAUUUGAUCGCGAGCAUGCGGACAUUAACGCUUUUCUCCUAGAAAGACGACUCUUACGGGGUUAUCUAUGAGUACGGCUAAAUGUCUUCGUUUUUCAUUGCGAGCGUAUGUCACGCAGUCCGUCAUCGUCAGAGGAAGAUAUGUGGUUGGACGCGCAGUUUACAAACUUCUUCUCGUUCGUCGAUUCUCAGCAAGCCGAUCUUCAUUGUGAUUUUAUAAAAUACCACACCGUACUGUUGUAACUGUGUUGUAACGAUGGUGUCUUAUUCAUUAAAAAAUAUUGAUAAAAAAAUUAUAGUGACAAGUUGAUAGAAUACUGUAGUUUCCGAUUGAUUCAAGUAUAAAAAAUCGCAUCAAUUUGCUAUUGCAAUUGUCGUAAAUUAAUUUUUAAUCGUAAAACGAUAAUUUUCAGUGAUUUAGAAUACUGACAAGUGUUGCUAACGGAAUAUUUCAACGCGAUUAUUUUGAUCACACAUUGACUGACUAAUUUAUUUAUUUAUUAUUAAAAAAUUCUUUGAAUGGCUGCAUCUGUAUCUUCAUUGUGAUGAGAAUGGAUUCUCUACAUCCUAGAUGUUUCGGUCAUGUUGAUUGGCUCACUGACUUAUGUGUUAAUGUUGAUAAAGAAAACAAAAAUGCUGUGUGUGGAUAUCGAGUGUCUAUCGAGACUUGUACCGAAUAAUGAACACAGCCAGUAUCUUACAUUUUCUGAUUAAAAAUUCUGGAAAAUAGUGAAAUAACCACUUUUUUAUUUACAAAAUCUCUAAUUGCACGUGCAACGAUUGAAGUAAUGAAAAAAAAGAGCGAAUCUUUAUCUUAACUGAACAUUGAAUGUUACUCUCUUAUAAUUUGUAACUUUUAUAAUUUUAUAAUUAAGAAUAGGAAAUUAUAAUUUAUCAAACAAUUUUAAAAAAGUUUUAAUAGUUAAAAACGUCCAAUCUUUUCGUAUUUUGAUAGUUAUAGAAGGAUUUAUAUCAUUAGCUACUUCUUUUUAUGUAUUUGAAAGUUUAUGCAAUGCAUUUUGCAACAAAGAAGAAGAAUUGCCGCCGACGGCUACAUAUCUCUCUUUCCAUAUAUACAUAAAUAAUGAAUAAAGAGUUGUAAGAUAUUCUCAAGCAAUAAAUUUCACAUUAUGUCAAACAAGUUUAGAUCUCGUUACAUUAAUAUUUGAUAAAAUACAGAUCAAUUAAAGACUUCAAUAAAAAGACUUUUGUCAAAAAUAUAUAUUCUAUAAUUUUUAAUUAUUUAAUAAUUUAAAAAUUAAUGUCAAUAUCUGUUUUAAUUUCAAUGUAUUCUAUUUUCCAUUUCCAGGAUAUCGGAUAUUAUUUAUAUCUAUUUCAUAUUUUGGUUUAUAUCUGUCGUAAUGACACAAAGUAAGAAGGAAAGAACAAUGGAAGCAGAAUAGAUUGAAUUGAACGAAAAAUCAUAUACGUUUUACGAGAUUCGUAAUAAUUAACGAAUUAUUAAUUAAUUCUUAUUAAGAGCAAAUUAAAGCAGCAAAUUAUCUCGUGUGAGGCAAUUAGAAGGAGUGCUCUAAUAAAUACAAUCCUAUAAAUACCCGCGUAAACAUGCUGCAAGAGGAAAGAUAACGCGCCGCUGAUAUACUUUACUAAUAUUUUUUAAUAUGAUCGUGUGUUACUACAAAAUACGGUUACUACCGUACCCAGAGCACUUCAUUUAUUGCUUUAGCGCGCGAGGUGUUCUCUUAUUUGCUAAUCUUACAAUAAUCGAUUAAUAACUCCUUAAUUGUUAUGAAUCUCGCAAAAUAGGACUUUCCGAUUUAACUCAAUUUAUUCUACCUCCAUGCGAGCGUUGGCUAGAACUUUAUUGGAUACACUGUAAUAUGUUUUCAGAAAUUAAAUAUGUUAUUUCUUUUUUAUUUACUCACUACUCACGAUAAAACAAGCCGCAAGAUAUAUAAAAUUAAUGUAAUAUAAAAUAAAAUAUAAAUUCGGAAAGAAAACAUAUUGUUUCCCCUCUAUUUUGUUGUUUAACAUACAUAUAAACCAAGGUAUAAAAUAGACAUAAACGAUAUGAAAUAGGUAUACAAAUAAAUCAUUUAAAAUAAUAGAAUAUAAAGAUGUGUCUGAUACAGAGAGAGAGAGAGAGAGAGAGAGAGAGGAGGGGGGUACCUGUCGGCGGCACAAAGCAUUCCAGUCGGGAUAAUCGAACUGAAUAACAGGUCUAGAUAUUGCUACUCGACUCCCUUGUGCCACACACAGGUAAUUGCUAUGGUAGAAUAUCUUUGCUAUGGAAGACAAGGGAAUUCGCGAUUGCAUCGUGUGCCGCGGUUAAGUAUAACCAUUAUCUCUGACGAGAUGGAAAUUGGCUUUGAUCCUGUUAAUUUAUAAAGAAACUUUUUAAAUUUUUGCUUGCUAUCGCUCGUUGCUCAUACGGUGGAGGCAUUUCGCGAACUUGCAGAAAAGAAAAAGGAUAUUUUUGUAGUAACUAAGCUCUUUAUGUGAGGCAGUUCUUUUCUACCAGACUUUGUAAUAGCUUAAUUUGUAAUAAUUUGACAGAAAUUUAAUUAAAUCUCGUUGCGCACGGUAGAUUUCGAUAUAAUCUACUAGUCCCAUGAAUUAUGAGUACCCAUGGACGACUUGCUCGUUCCUUUCUCGUGCGCAAACAAGACAACCCUUUGCGCCAAACGAGGGAAGCAGCGCCCGACGGCAUUAGCAUCCUCGGCAAGGGUGUAUAUCGCCAUCGUUAUCGUCGCCGCCGUUGCGUGUAGCUUCUCCUACGAAGCAUCCUACGAGACAUCUUAGACCGAGACAACCCCAUGAUUUUGUCUCUUCGGUAUUCAUGAACAGGCCUGACGUAGGGCGCAACGCCGCUUCCUUUUCCUUCAUGAAUUUACAAUCGACAAAACGAAUCACGAAGAAGUGCCUGUGCGUGACUGCGCGUGCCAGUACGAUUGAAUACCGUAACGUCUGUAUUGAGCACUAUAAUUUGCAUGAUAUGAUUUUUGCUUGCGAAUAAUAUGCUGGGGCGCGUGCUAGUAACUAAGAAAUAAAAGUAUAUUUUAAAAUA